GUCUCAGUAUUAUUCAUCGAUCCGAGACUGAAAUCGGAUUGUUUCGGACCUACAAUUUGGUAUCAGAGCCACGGUGGCUCGUUUCAGUUUUGGUUUGGUCGGUUCUUCACCGGAAAUCCGCCGGAGACGUUAAAAUGAAGUGUAGAUCUGUUUUUGAUGCAUUUUCAGAUCCGGCGACUUUAAUUGUUGAUCCAACGAUUUUGUUCUUCAAGGUUUAGAGAGAGUAUCAGGGUAGAGAAAUAGAUCUGGAGAGAGUUCAUUAUUUCCUGUGAUUUUUCUUGGUUCCGGUAACGGUGGGGCACUAAGUUAAUGAAGGUCACUUGUGGCUUUCGGCAGCUUAGGGUGGUCGCAGGUAACCGGUUAUUUUGUGUUUCUCGAGUGGCGCAUGAUUAGUGACCCAUGAUGGUUGCUUCAAUGUUAGGCGGUUGGUUAUGACGGUGUACGGUGGCGCUGUAUGCCGGAGUGUAUGGUGACAUUGGAACUGUGUUAUUUUGUUUGCCGUUUAUUAUCCUCAUUCCGAUCAACAUCGGUUGAAGCGGUGUUAUCAUACAGACCGGAUGUUGUUGUGCAGGCUUACGGUUAUAGGUCUAGGGUGGUUUGAGGUGAACAAGGGUGGCGGCUGGAAAAAGAUAAUCAGAAUUUGUUGUUCCGACCGUGAUGUCGGCUGAAAAUGUUCGAAUGCGGCUAGGGUUUGUUUGUCAACAAAGCAUUUGCAUGGGCUAGGGUGCAUGAGGCCCAACGAUUGCACUGAUUCAUGAAUUCUCUUAUUAUUCCCUAGGCCCACAUGUUUGACGGUUGGUAGUUUGCUUUGCUGCUAAAAUUCCGAGUGUGCCCAUGAGUGAGUUUGGAUUUUUAAUAUCAAACACAUGUAGUUGGAUUAUUUUAUUCUUGGGCCCCACCUACACAUCACUACAUCAGGUAUGAAAUGUUUUCUUUUGUUUUGGUGGUAGUGAAUUGUUUGAAUUAAAUUACAACAUAUUGGGUGCCACUAAUUAAGUUGUUCAACAUUAAGAGCUUAAUGAUUUUUUUGCCACGCAUGAAUCCCAUGUUGCAUAGGCUAGGGGCUCACUUAUAAUUGGAACAAUUUGUUUUCUGGACUACAUAUAAAAUGCUUGGCUAGUGCAAGCAUCACUCAGGCUCACCUAAUGGAUGUGAUUAUUCUUACCGAUUGGGCAUUUUUUUAAAAGAGUGGUCUCUGUUAAAUUAGAUAUCAAGAUAACAUGUUGGAGCUUUAUAAUUUGAAGGAUUAAGGUUGUUUGAGUUUCUACUUGGGCUACGAUAUUCUAGGUAUGGGCCGGGUCUUAAAAGUUUAUUUGUGGGCCUAGAUAUUUGAUGCAAUUUUGGAGAGGAAAGUUAAUGAUAUACUUUUGGGCCGGGGAAUUCAAGAUUAAUUUUAUGGGCCAACGAUUUUAUGUUCUUUUUUGGGGAUUUUGGUUAUAUUUUGGAACAAACGUUGAAAAGGAAUUUUGGUGACAUAAGCGGUGGAUCAGGAGCUAAACGCAAUCUAACAGAAUUGAAGAUCCUCACAAUGGAGCUAAUUAUUUAAUUUUUAUCAUUGAAGUUUGAACCCUAUCAUAUGCCUAUUACAAUUGUAUCUUCAAAAGUAAGAUAAGGAGCUUUGAUCGACAAGAUAUAGGAGGGUCAACAUUUGCGGGAGAAAACGACAAUGAAGAUUUUGGGUAUUUAGCCGAUUUGUGAAGAUUCGAAGACGACAUCAGAUUUAUUUUUCAAGAUCAUUUGAAAAAUUGAUAACAUCAUUCACGGGGGACUAUUGUUGGGUCAAAAUGGAGAAUGAUGUUAUCAAUUACGCCGGUGUUGUUUAGCGAUUUUAUUGUUUAUAUUUUGUGACGUUUGUUAUUUGUAAUAGUCGGAUAAUUUAGCGACUUUAGUAGGUUUUCCAAGCAAGGGGCGGCUUGCUUGGAGGACAAGGCUCAGGGAAUAUAUAUAGAUUACUAGUCACCACUUGUUAGGGGUGCAUUAGUGAGCCCCACCCCGGGGGAGCUCACCUAGGGUGGAUGACUAUUUUGUGUAUUUUUUAUCACAUUCAAUGAAAGCAUCUUUGU
rnacentral:lncRNA from 1 species